GACGAACGCUGGCGGCAUGCCUAAUACAUGCAAGUCGAGCGAACAGAUGAAGUGCUUGCACUUCUGACGUUAGCGGCUAACGGGUGAGUAACACGUAAGGAAUCUACCUAUAAGCGGGGGAUAACAUUCGGAAACGGGUGCUAAUACCGCAUAAUAUCUUCUUCCGCAUGGAAGGAGAUUGAAAGACGGCUCUGCUGUCACUUAUAGAUGACCUUGCGGUGGAUUAGUUAGUUGGUGGGGUAACGGCCUACCAAGACGAUGAUGCAUAGCCGACCUGAGAGGGUGAUCGGCCACAUGGGGACUGAGACACGGCACAAACUCCUACGGGAGGCAGCAGUAGGGAAUCUUCCGCAAUGGGCGAAAGCCUGACGGAGCAAUGCCGCGUGAGUGAAGAAGGCCUUCGGGUCGUAAAACUCUGUUAUAAGAGAAGAACAAAUUGUAGAGUAACUGCUACAGUCUUGACGGUAUCUUAUCAGAAAGCCACGGCUAACUACGUGCCAGCCGCCGCCGUAA
rnacentral:rRNA from 1 species